AGAACAACAAGACAGUUGAAAAUAGAAGUCUGAGCCAUUUCAAUGUCUCAACAGCUAUUCUGUCCCGGUUUUUCAGUCGGCUCAGCUGUGCACACCUGCUGUUGUUCAAUCACACAUUUGCACUUGGCUCAUUGUGACUCAUUGCGUUCUCUAGCCUGGAACAAAGGGAUCACAAUUACGUACAGUAACAUGGAACACAGUCUCUUUAGCUGAGGUGUUGAUCGUCAGUCGACCAGGAGAAAUCUACAGUCGCUACAUUUUAAAAAAAUCUGUCAGUGCUGUUGAUAUGCCAAUCUUUGAGUCCAUUGAGCUCUUCUUCGCACCCACUCUGGUUUCAAUAUCUUCACACCUGGCUCUGGGAUUCACACUCUAGUCGCACAACACAGCCCCUCCUCCAGAAGAUAACAGCAACAUUACACUGUCCACUCGCACACCGGCCAAUAAGAGGAAGCAUGCUGACCCCUAUAAAAAGCAUCGGUUUUGAAGCUGAAUACACCAGACAGAGAGACAGCAAGUGAAUGAGAAGAGGAACAAAUGAACUGUAUGUUCAAAAGGACGUAAAGAAACUAAACUUCUAUUUGUUUUGACUCGUUUUAAAGUGUCAUCAUGAGCUCUAAUCUUGUAAAGUCUCUUGCUCGGGUUUAUGACCCCAAACCGCUUCACGCUCAGAAACGAUCGAACGGCGGAAGAGCUACAGCAAGAAGAGCUUCGCUUUCUACCUCAAACAAACGUCCAUCUUCACCACUUUCUAAUCAGGCUUCCUCAAAAUCCUCCUCACCUUCUGCGCUUGUACAUAUUGAAGGACAAGUCAGUGAUCUGAGUGAUAAGAUGGACAAAGUCCUCGCCAUGCAGGAAGCGUCUCUGAGACGACUGGAUACCAUCUGCCAAGAUCAAGGCACAGGUGGACGCAGCGUGGAGCAGAUGUUGUGUGACGUGCGAGUUGUUAUAGAAACUGUUCGAGAGAAGGAGGAACAACAGGAUCAGCGACUUGAUGCUUUGGAGCGACUGGUCAGCGGCAUUCAGCAGGUUGUCAGUUUUGUUGCUGAAGUGUUGAAACACUCAAGAUUGGCCGAUCUCUUGAAAAAUAAACAGUCAAAAUCCAGCAGCAGGUUUAGAGAAAAGGAUGGAAAGGAGAAAUCUAAAGUGUACCAGAAGGGGUUGAAAACCCAGAAGAAAAAGAAACCACUGGAUGCAUCAGACUUAGUCCAGGCUAGUUUUGAAGAAGUGCAGAAGCUCAACGAACAGAACGAUCAGCUUUCUCAGUGCACGGCAGAUACAGCAGACAGCAAAGUUGUGCACCUGGAUCUUAUUGAAGAGGAGCAAGAAGGAGAGAAAUAUAGUGAAAGAAAAGAUGACAAUCAACAGGCAGCAGUGAAAGAAGAGGCAAGAGAGCAAGAAAUUCCUGUUUGUGAGUUAUUACAGAUAGAAGAGGAGGAUAAAAAAGAGGAAGAGGAAACGUUAAAGAGAGACGAGGCUUUAUGGUUGUCUGAAGAAAGCCAACUAGCUGCUCUGAACACAUCUGACCAGGCAGAUGAAAGCAUUACAGUCACACCAGAAAGCUGUGAGGAGAAUCUAGAUAUAACUCUCAGCACUAAGAGGCAUGUUACUGACGAGAGUCUGACAGACGAACUUAAAAAAAGCCGAGUCGAGGAGGCGCCGGACGAGGAGGAGGAGGAGGAGGAGGAGGAUAAGGAAUUGAAGGAGGAAGAGGUGGUAGAACUUGAAGCAGCAGAGGCACUUGAAGCUGCAGAGGCGGGACCAGAGAGACCAGAGGAGGGGACAGAAGAAGAGAGGAAAGAUGCAGAGCCAGUAACUGACGAAUAUAUCAUUGAUUCAUCUGCUCCUCCACCCGCACCAUUUGAGCACCGUCUAGUGACAACCAAAACCCACCAGAUUACAAGUUACUACACUAUCAACAAAGAGGAAGUUCUUGGAGGUGGACGCUUUGGCAUGGUGCACAAAUGUGUAGAGAAAUCUUCUGGCCUCAUAUUAGCAGCCAAGAUCAUCAAAGCCAGGAGUCAGAAAGAGAAGGAGAUAGUAAAGUGUGAAAUUGAAGUGAUGAACCAGUUGAAUCAUGCCAAUCUGAUCCAGCUCUACGCCGCCUUUGAAUCUCGGCAUGAAAUGAUUCUAGUGAUGGAGUAUGUUGAUGGUGGAGAGCUGUUUGACCGGAUCAUAGAUGAGAACUACAAGCUGACCGAGUUGGACACAGUGUUGUUCAUCAGACAGAUCAGUGAAGGGCUUCAGUAUAUGCACAAGAUGUACAUAUUACACCUUGAUCUAAAGCCUGAAAACAUUCUCUGCGUCAGUCGACAAACAAACAAGGUGAAGAUAAUUGACUUUGGGCUUGCAAGGAGAUAUAAACCAAGGGAAAAGUUGAGGGUGAACUUUGGUACACCUGAGUUCCUGGCUCCUGAAGUCAUCAACUAUGAAUUUGUCUCAUUCCCAACUGAUAUGUGGAGUUUAGGAGUCAUCACUUACAUGCUGCUCAGUGGCUUGUCUCCGUUCCUGGGUGAGGAUGAUAAUGAGACACUAAAUAACAUCCUGGCAUGUCAGUGGAGUUUUGAAGAGGCAGAGUUUGCCGACAUCUCUGAGGAGGCCAAAGACUUCAUUUCACGCCUGCUUGUGAAGAGCAAAAGUUGGAGAAUGAGUGCAUCCCAGUCCCUGAAACACCCAUGGCUUUCAGACCGAGCGCUGCACUACCGUCUGCACCAUAAGAAAAACAAGUGUCACUCUUCACAUGCUCCUCCCUCAGAGGAAUAAACAGAUGCCUGUCGGUGUGGCGUCACACCAGAGGCCGCUCCCACGAUAGUUGAUUGACGUGAGCGCCUUACCUCAGACCCUAAAUCAGCUGUAACAGUCCAACCUCUAUUGUUUCGAUGCUGGAGCAGGGAUGUAAGUUAGACAAGAAUAUCUCAGAUUGAGCGAUUGCUGGAUACCUUAAUUUCUUUUCGACUGAAGAAAGAAAUUACAUCUUGGAUGACAGUGAGUGAUCAUUGGCUCUCCUAGUGCCUUGGUGACACACUGGACCAAUACUGUUGUACCUGAACAACUACACAACAUCUGUUUAAUGUUACAGUCAAAAACUGAACUGUACAAUGUCUAUUACCUUUUUACCUCAAUCUUAAGCUAAAACAACAUACAACACUUUAAAAGUACAGCUCUCCACUUGUGGUACAAGAAUAUUUCACCAUUUUGUUAAAUAGUAACUAUUUAUGGCUCUGUGACGAAUUUGCCCUGUGCUCCAGUCCUGGUUCAAGUGGGUUUUAUCUGUCUAGUAGCGGUUGUCUUAUGGCAAAUUACUACAUACAGUUAAUACUACAGUGAGUUGAACUUGUAUGUGCACUUUAUUACAGGCCAGGACUGGAGGACGUAUGUGAAUGACUAAGAGUGCACCAGAAAUCAUCAUUCAUACUCUAUACGCACAAAUGUAUUGAGUCUUAUCAUGGUAAUAUUCUGUACAUCGCUGCCUGGUUCAUGGUAACAUUUCAUUGACGUAAUAUUUAUGAAGGCAUUAGAAUUCACACAGGAAACCGUACUGUAUUAUACACUUGAAACUCUAGCACCCUUAAUGCCAAAAUCUUGCAAAUAAUCUGUCAUUUUUGAAUGUUAUGUCUUUUCAGGAAGUCUAAAUAUCAGAGUUCGGAGUUUGUCUGUGUGCAUGUAGCUACUGUUACCUGAUACAAAUAGCCAUGACCCAAAUACAGCUCUCACUUACCACAUUUUAUUCUGUAAUGUCAUUUAGAGGGUUUCCUUUAGGGCAAAUGUAUUGUUCAAAAUGAGAUGUUUAGAAUCCCAUGAGCUCCACAUGCUUGGCUAAUGCUGCUGAUCUCACACUUUAUUGUAUUUUUGUUUUCAAUUUUUUAAAAUGGAAAUUUGAGACUGGGACACUAGCUUCAAGACUGUCUGUUUUAAUUAUACGGUCUUGCUCACUCCCUCUCUUUGUAGUAGACACCUCACCUUCCAUGAAGGCAAAUGAAGAAACAGCACACUACCUACAAAUGUAUUGUGUGUUUUUGUGUGGUUCUAUAUAUAAAGAUACUGUUUUGGUUUGAUCACCUUCUCUGAUGUUUACUUGAAAUGCUUUCACAAUAUAGCAAAUGGGGUGAAAUUUACUGUACGUCAGGCUAACAAAGUAGUUUUUAGACACUAGGAUUCUAAGUGAAAGCUGAAAAAAACAGGACUAUUACUUUUUGAUGUGUAAGCAUUAAUAAAAGAUUUAUUUAUUUUUA